AUGCCCCGCUUAAGUGUCCACCAUCUUCAUCGUCCCCAAAAGGCCGCUCUACGCACUGGCACACACUCUGCAGCCAUGUCGAGCGACAGCGAGGACGAUAGUCUGGCCAGCAGUCUGGCGCCCGAUGAUAGGUCAACAUCGGAAUCAUCCCGCUCGUCUUCCAUGAGUCCGGCAUCGAGCCCAGACCUCGAUUUAUCCGGUCCAUGGAAGGGGCGUCGCCUCCGGAGUCGUCAGAAGACAACCAGACGGACGAGGAGCCGUCGGAGGAUGAAGAAGAGGACGACGACGAUGAUGAGGAGGAAUGGUCAAACGAGGAGGAGGAGAACGACAACAACAACGACGAUGAUGAUGGCAGCGGUGAUGAAAAGCCAACGGUCAGCGGCAAGAAGCGUCCUCACCAAGAUGAUGUCGCGGGGCCAUCCAACAACAACAACAAGAAUAAGAAUGACUAAAUUAAGAAGACUGUAUAUAUCUCUAUUUCCGUUUGCUCAUAUUAAUUUGUAA
rnacentral:rRNA from 1 species